rnacentral:tRNA from 1 species
GGGCGAUUAGCACAGUGGAAGAGCACUUCGUUCACCCCGAAGGGGUCACUGGUUCGAACCCAGUAGCGCCCACC